CAACAAAUUUCACCGAAAACGGAAUCGAAGAUGAAAGCCGCAUCAAAAUUUUCAACGAAUUUCUGAGUUCUUCUCACAGAGAAUCCAAACAUAGUUUCAUCGCAUUUCACCAAACCCUUUUCACCGUCGCAGUGACGACAACGAAACUGAAGAAUGUUCACCAUCGCUCGGUUCACAUGACGACAUCGCAUUGGUAAAACGAAGGGUGAGAAUAAGGGUUAUUGUUGUGGGUUUUGCAGCGUGUGAAUCUCGGUUCUGCAAUGGUGUGAAAUGGGUUUUUUGCUGCAGAUGAAAAAAUAUCCAUGUUCUGUGUUGUCGGGUCAAUUAUACAGUGAAAGGAACCAUAACUCAAAUCUCCAACUGUGGUGGCUCCAACUGCUGCUGCUGCUGUAGGUUUAGCAUUCUUCAGCUAUGGAUUUCCACAAGCUGGCACUUGCGUUGAGUAACAUUGGUUUUGAAAAUCUGAGGUGAGAAACACUGUUGAGACAGCGGUAAAGGUGGGUUUUGUUCACUAUUGAAAACUAGUGAUUUGGUAGCUUAAAAGACAAAUCUUUAUAGGUUUUGUUUUUGGCCCUUCUUUUUUUUGUUCCACUUCUUGGUUUGGUAGCUUGUGGCUGACAAGAUAUCAACAAGUAUCAAUUUAUGUUUUGAAUUAGAAACUCUUGUUGAUGAUUCUUUGAUUCUUUUAAAGGCGUGUGUGAAUUUUUCAUAUUCUAUACUGUAGUGUUUUUCAUUUUAGUGUUACCAUUCUGGUUGGAUAAGAUAGCAUCUUGUCAACAAGGUUGUCAUGUCUCAUGUUCCUUUCCUGUUCACUUUGAAAUCUUUUCUUCACUGCUACUACUUCAUUUAUUGAGCUUUCAUUCUUCACAAGUUUUCACAACUUGUGAAGAUUCUUUGGAACUGUUGUGGAUGAGUUUGCUCCAUGUAAUUGGGUUUGGUCUAAAAUAUCAAUUUAUUGGGGAGAAGAUAUUGGGGAGUGUGUGUAGAAUUAAUCAGCAAUAUUAUCAGUGUAUUGGGUUUAAGAAAGUUAGGAGAAAGUUAUGGAGGAAAUUGUUGUUGACAUGGGUUUUGGGUUAGUGUAUAGUGUCUUUGUGGAUCUUUUGUUUUAUGAAUCUGCAAGUUACUGAGAAGAGGAAAGAGACUCUUGCUAGUAUGUGUGAUGAAAGAGCUAGGAUGCUACAAGAUCAAUUUAAUGUUAGUAUGAAUCAUAUUCAAGCCAUGUCGAUCUUGAUCUCGACUUUUCAUCAUGCUAAGAAUCCUUCUGCUAUUGAUCAGAGAACGUUUGCGAAGUAUACAGAAAGUUUUGAAAGUUCAGCCACAUCUUUUCAGUGUUGUAAUAACUUGCGAAGUAUACAGUAAUGAUGAAGCUCAGCCACAUCUUUUCAGUGCUGUAAUAGAGAAGAUUGAACGCCUUUACAUGAUAUGUGUAUGUUGCUUGCUGAGAUUGUUAUUAUAUGCUU